UACAGAGGUCUCAAGCGUUGUUCGGAUUCAUUGGGCGUAAAGGGUGCGUAGGCGGCGCGGUAAGUCGGGUGUGAAAUCUUGGAGCUUAACUCCGAAACUGCAUUCGAUACUGCCGUGCUUGAGGACUGGAGAGGAGACUGGAAUUUACGGUGUAGCGGUGAAAUGCGUAGAUAUCGAUAAGGAAGACCAGUGGCGAAGGCGGGUCUCUGGACAGUUCCUGACGCUGAGGCACGAAGGCCAGGGGAGCAAACGGG
rnacentral:rRNA from 1 species